rnacentral:lncRNA from 1 species
UUCAGUUUAAUUCAAUCUGAUACAGCACAAAACUACACUAUUUACUAUUCCAUAAGUGGGCCUGGAGUUGACAAAGAACCUCUAAAUUUAUUUUAUGUAGAGAGAGAUACUGGAAACCUGUUUUGUACUCGUCCUGUAGAUCGUGAAAAGUAUCCAUCUUUUGAGCUAGUUGCCUUUGCAACAACUAAGGAUGGAUAUACUCCAGAAUUUCCACUGCCCCUACUAAUCAGAAUCGAGGAUGAGAAUGAUAACUUCCCAAUUUUUACAGAAACAACUUACAUUUUUAAUGUUUCUGAAAACUGCAGAGUUGGUACUACCGUGGGACAGGUUUGUGCAACUGACAAAGAUGAGCCUGACACACUGCACACGCGUCUAAUGUACUCCAUCAUCGAGCAGUUACCAGCAUCACGCACCCUCUUUUUUAUGCAGCCAGCUACAGGUGUGAUCACCACAACAUCAUCUCAGCUAGACAGAGAGGUAACUGAUAAAUACCAAUUGAAAAUAAAAGUACAAGACAUGGAUGGUCAAUAUUUUGGUUUGCAGACAACUGCAACUUGCAUCAUUAAUAUUGGAGAUGUGAAUGACAACUUGCCAACAUUCAACCGUUUAUCUUAUGAGACAUCAGUGGAGGAAAAUAUAAUUGAUGUGGAAAUCUUACGUGUUGCCGUUACGGAUAAGGAUUUAAUUAAUACUGCUAAUUGGAGAGCUAAUUAUACCAUUUUAAAGGGCAAUGAAAAUGGAAAUUUUAAAAUUGUAACAGAUCCCAAAACCAAUGAAGGAGUUCUGUAUGUGGUUAAGCCACUGAAUUAUGAAGAAAAACAAGAGAUGACCCUACAAAUCAGUGUAGUUAAUGAAGCUCCAAAUUUUGCUAGUUCGAGAUCAACCAUGAGCAUGGCGACAGUCACUGUUAAUGUACAAAAUCAGGAUGAAGGCCCUGAGUGUCGCCCUGCAGUGCAAAUUGUUCGUAUUAAAGAAAAUGCACCAGGGAGCACAAAGGGCAUUGGAUAUAAAGCACAUGACCCGGAAACAAAUAGUAGCAGUGGCAUAAGGUAUAAGAAAUUAAGUGAUCCAGAAGGAUGGGUCAGUGUUGAUGAAAACUCAGGAUCAAUCACAAUUUUAAGAAGCCUGGAUAGAGAGGCAAGGACCAUCAGAAAUGGUAUAUAUAAUAUUACAAUCCUUGCCUCAGACAAAGGUAAGAGAACAUGUACUGGGACACUAGGGAUUAUACUUGAAGACGUGAAUGAUAACGGCCCAUUCAUACCUCAAAAGACGGUGAUAAUCUGUAAAACUGUCAUGUCAUCGGCGGAGAUUGUGGCCGUAGAUCCCGAUGAACCCAUACACGGCCCACCCUUUGACUUCAGUUUGGAAGGUGUUUCUGAUUCAGAAGUACUUAGAAUGUGGAGACUGACAAAAAUUAACGAUACAGCAGCACGUCUUUCCUAUCUGAAUGACCUCCAGUUUGGAGAAUAUACAGUACCUGUCAGAGUUGCAGAUAGGCUUGGCCAAUCACUUGUCACUCAGUUAAAGGUGAUAUUAUGUGACUGUGUUACCCAAAGUGACUGCGACAUUCGCUCAUCUGUGAUUCCCAGAAGACUGAUACUUGGAAAGUGGGCCAUCCUUGCAAUAGUGUUGGGCAUAGCAUUGCUAUUUUGUGUCCUAUUUACCUUAGUCUGUGGGGCUACUGGGGCAGCCAAAAAGCCAAAAGUAUUUCCCGAUGAUUUAGCCCAGCAGAACCUCAUUGUAUCAAACACUGAAGCUCCCGGCGAUGACAAAGUGUAUUCCACCAACGGCUUCACAACCUAUACUAUGGGAGGCUCCACUCAGGGAAUUUGCAGCACCCUGGGAUCCGGAGUGAAAAACGGAGGGCAGGAGACCAUUGAAAUGGUGAAAGGAGGGCAGACCGUUGAGCCCUGCCAGGAGGGAGGUGGACAGCACACCCUGGAUUCCUGCAGAGGAGGACAAGUAGAGGCAGACAACUGCAGAUACGCAUACUCCGAUUGGUACACCUACACUCAGCCCCGUCUUGGUGAAAAGGUCCAGCUGUGUAAUCAGGAUAACAGUCAUACGCAUGCACAAGACUACGUCCGGACGUAUAACUAUGAAGGAAAAGGAUCGGCGGCUGGUUCUGUGGGUUGUUGCAGUGAACGACAAGAAGAAGAUGGGCUUGAAUUUUUGGAUCAUUUGGAACCCAAAUUUAGGACACUAGCAGAAGCAUGCAUGAAGAGAUGAGUGUGUUCUAUUUAGUCUACAAAAGCCAGUGGCUUUAAUUGUCUCUUUUAAAUUAUUAUUACAAGCCAGGAUUUUUUUAAAAAUAGAAGAUGCUGUUUUGGGGGCUUUUCCCCUUUAUUUUGUUGAGAUCUCUUUAGCCACAUGUGCUUUUACAGAGGGAUGCUGUGAACAACUACACAAAUUUCCUGAUUUUUCCAUAGUUUUUAAAUACUUGUCUUCCACCUAAGGACACCUGCAGAUAGACAAGUUGAGACAGUCUGCAUUAUUGUUUACAUUUGGGUAUAGUGACAGCAGCCAAUUUGUAGUGCAAUAAUAUGUAAUUAACUCAAGUCUAUAUCAUAGACUACUUGGAGUAUAACCGAAUGGAAAAUUGAAGAGGUCUUGCUCUAACAUUAUCUUCAGUUACCUAAAUUAAUUGUUUGUGUGGUGCUUGAAGACUGUUGUUCUCCUAAACAUUCUAAAGUGUAUACACUGCAUUCUUGCUAUUGUUUUAGUCUUGUAACAUGACCUUGCUUCAUAAAGCAAAGGGAGAUUCCCAACUAAGCGUUGACUGUUAUUAUAAUUCCACUUUGGUGGACUUUAGUUUUUGUGUUGUAUUCUCUGUGAAAUCCGGCACUGAAUCUACAUUUCCUCUGUUACCCACCUUCUCCGCAAAAUUUAAAUUAAAAAAAUGCUGAGGAAUGUAUUUUUUACUCCUGCAAGGUUUUGGUCUUUGGUCCCCGCCACUCCCCACCACCCCUUCUGUCUGCCUCUCACCCUCUCUCUUCCCUCUUUCCCCCUCUCCCUCUCUUUUUCCCUCUAUCUCUCUCUUUCUCUUCUUUUUUGUUCUUAAAAUUCCGAUUUGGGUUGGAGAAUCUAAGUAUGUUUAAAAGCCGCCUCUUUUUCCCUCGCUUAUAAAGUGACUUAUUCUGUGUUUCUGUUUUAUGUAAGCACCUGUAUUCUUGGCUUUUCUUAAAAUCAAUGUAAUGUCAAUUUUUUUGUUUCAGCUAUUUUGGUGAUUGCUUCAUUAUCUCCUCAACAAAGACCCUUUACUUUUGCCAUUCAACUGUAGAAGCAUGUCAUGCUUUUAUUUGAUGCAACACUCUAUGUUAACAAAAGGAAUAGUGUAAUUAAAAUUAGUUUAGUAUAAAAUAGUAUAUUUACAGUUCAUUAUUGCAAGGAUACAGUUUAUAAAUGCAAAAUAGUGAUUUUUUUGAAAUAAGCUUUGCAGUACAGGGAUUGUGAAAUCUCUAGGAAUAACUUUUAUAGCUUUUUAGAUCAGGUGGCUAGUUAUAGCUAUGUGUUUGUAAAGUUUUUUUUUUUUUAAUAUUUUGAGAUUACAGUUUUUUAACAAAUGUCGAACUGGUUCAAACUAUUUAAAUUUUGAAAUAAUAAGACAAAAUUAAACUUAAUAGCCAACCAAAUUCCAGGCUACAUUUCACAGCUGAUUUCAGUCAAUGAAUUUUCUAUCCGUACUAACCAUAUGGACAUUUUUAAAGUAUUUCUGAUAUUUAGGAUUGUUAAUAAUAUGCCUAUUUUGAAUUCACAGGAUUGGCUUAUAACAAUUAUUUUUAAAAAUUAACACUGGGUAAUUUAUUCAAUAAUCAGUUUAUCUUUUCAAUAGUUUCAUCACUACUCAGUCAAAAAUACUAUUUCUCAAAGUUAUUUUUAAUAAAUUAUGUAUAAAAUUCUUGUAUAUUACUAGU